rnacentral:rRNA from 1 species
CGGACGGGUGAGUAACACGUGGAUAACCUACCUAUAAGACUGGGAUAACUUCGGGAAACCGGAGCUAAUACCGGAUAAUAUUUUGAACCGCAUGGUUCUAAAGUGAAAGACGGUCUUGCUGUCACUUAUAGAUGGAUCCGCGCUGCAUUAGCUAGUUGGUAAGGUAACGGCUUACCAAGGCAACGAUGCAUAGCCGACCUGAGAGGGUGAUCGGCCACACUGGAACUGAGACACGGUCCAG